rnacentral:lncRNA from 1 species
CCCUCAGACCUUGCCUGUAACACCCCCAGAGACCUUGCUGUGGUCCCACUGGACACUGGCCACUUGACAGCUGCCUCAAACGCAGAAGUCCGGGCUAGCCCAGAAGUACCAGAUGGCAGUGGUGCCACUGGCAGUAAGGGAGGCACCUGGGCAACAGCCACACCUCAGCUGUUGUCUGAAGAGGACCUGCCUUGGCACUGUGACCUGUACCAGGACACUUGCAGAGGGGAUUUCCUUGGGUGAGUGACAUCAAGAAGCUCUAGCUCAUGGAUCCCACAGGCAGAAGCAGGAGAAGCAGCAGACGCAGAAAAGGAAGCACACAGGCAAGUGGAAGCAUCCGGAGCAUGUCAAGGACCCAGCCUCACCACGGCAGUGCCUGGGACCCGGCUGUGUGUAUCCCACCUGGCCAGGCUCCAAGUACUGUUCAGAUGACUGUGGCAUGAGGCUGGCAGGUGCGUGAGUGCACCUCGAGGUUAAGGGACAAAGCCACAUCAAUAACAUCCUUCCCCAGCACAUCCAGCAGUGGCAAAGGAGCCCCUGCAUUGCCAAUGAGCAUGGCAAGAAAAUGCUCGAGCACAUCCACCAUAAGCAACAGAACACCUAUACUUGCCUGAAGGACAUGGAGCACCAUUUCCAUGAACUUGAGGCCAUCAUUCUGCAUGGCAAACAGCAGGCUGUAGCAACAAAGGUGAAAAGGGCAGCAAAGACCUGCAGAUCUUUUGCGCCUCCUGCAGGCGGCCCAUCUCUAAGCGUGUCACCUUUCACCACAUGGAGCACUGCUUUGCCAAGUAUGAGUGCCAAUUGCCCGUUGGGUCCCUGUACCCUACUUGUAUUGAAGGCCACAUGGCUCUUCUGUGAUGUCUACAAUCUGAAAAGUAAGAGGUACUGUAAGCGCCUCCAGGUGCUGUGUCCUGAGCACUCUUGGGACCCCAAGAUGUCAAAGGAUGAGGUGGGUGGUUGUCCGCUCGUGCACAAUGUCUUUGAGUUCACGGGUAAUUUUUGUUGCCUCCCCAAAUGCCUGUGCAACCACCACUACAGCUGGGAGAAGCUGAGGCGUGCCGUGGACCUGGAUUGCACAAGCUGGAACAGCUGUUUGAGCAGGAGCAGAAGGUGCGCACGUCUAUGAUGAACCGGGUGGGGCUGCUGGCUCUGAUGCUGCACGGGACGAUCCAGCACGACCCGUUCACCAGUGACCUGUGCUCCAGGGUGGAC